rnacentral:rRNA from 3 species
UACGGAGGGUGCAAGCGUUAUCCGGAUUCACUGGGUUUAAAGGGUGCGUAGGCGGGCAUUUAAGUCAGUGGUGAAAUACCUGAGCUUAACUUGGGAACUGCCAUUGAUACUAUUUGUCUUGAAUGUCGUGGAGGUUAGCGGAAUAUGUCAUGUAGCGGUGAAAUGCUUAGAUAUGACAUAGAACACCUAUUGCGAAGGCAGCUAACUACGCGAAUAUUGACGCUGAGGCACGAAAGCGUGGGGAUCAAACAGG